GGUUGAUCUGCCGGACCUGACUGCUAUCGGAUUGAUACUAAGCCAUGCGAGUCAUUGUAGCAAUACAAGGCAGACGGCUCAGUAACGCGUAGUCAACCGAACCUAUGGACGGGAAUAGCCUCGGGAAACUGAGAAUAAUGCCCGAUAGAACACUAUAUCUGGAAUGGUUUGUGUUCCAAAUGAUUUAUCGCCGUAGGAUGGGACUGCGGCCUAUCAGUUUGUUGGUGAGGUAAUGGCCCACCAAGACUAUUACAGGUACGGGCUCUGAGAGGAGUAGCCCGGAGAUGGGUACUGAGACACGGACCCAGGCCCUAUGGGGCGCAGCAGGCGAGAAAACUUUGCAAUGUGCGAAAGCACGACAAGGUCAAUCCGAGUGAUUUGUGCUAAACGAAUCUUUUGUUAGUCCUAGAACCACUAACGAAUAAGGGGUGGGCAAGUUCUGGUGUCAGCCGCCGCGGUAAAACCAGCACCUCAGGUGGUCAGGAUGAUUAUUGGGCCUAAACCAUCCGUAGCCGGCUCUGUAAUUUUUCAGUUAAAUCUGU
rnacentral:rRNA from 1 species